rnacentral:rRNA from 1 species
UACGAAGGGGCUAGCGUUGCUCGGAAUCACUGGGCGUAAAGCGCACGUAGGCGGAUUGUUAAGUCAGGGGUGAAAUCCUGGAGCUCAACUCCAGAACUGCCUUUGAUACUGGCGAUCUUGAGUCCGGGAGAGGUGAGUGGAACUGCGAGUGUAGAGGUGAAAUUCGUAGAUAUUCGCAAGAACACCAGUGGCGAAGGCGGCUCACUGGCCCGGUACUGACGCUGAGGUGCGAAAGCGUGGGGAG